AUUUUUAUAGCUUAUAUUAGAGUAUAAUAUUGAAAAUAUUAAGGUGAAAUUUUUUUUUAAAAAUA
rnacentral:tRNA from 1 species